rnacentral:rRNA from 1 species
CGCAAUGGACGAAAGUCUGACGGAGCAACGCCGCGUGAACGAAGAAGGCCUUCGGGUCGUAAAGUUCUGUUGUUAGGGAGGAACAGGUACCAGAGUAACUGCUGGUACCUUGACGGUACCUAACCAGAAAGCCACGGCUAACUACGUGCCAGCAG